UAAGCCUGCGAGUCUAAAGGUUUCUUCGGAAACCUUGGCGGACCGCUCAGUAACACGUGGAUAACCUACCCUUGGGACUGGAAUAACCCCGGGAAACUGGGGAUAAUACCGGAUAGAUCAGGGAUGCUGGAAUGCACCUUGAUCCAAAGCUCCGGCGCCCAAGGAUGGGUCUGCGGCCUAUCAGGUAGUAGUGGGUGUAACGUACCUACUAGCCAACGACGGGUACGGGUUGUGAGGGCAAGAGCCCGGAGAUGGAUUCUGAGACACGAAUCCAGGCCCUACGGGGUGCAGCAGGCGCGAAACCUUUACAAUGUGCGAAAGCAUGAUAAGGGAACUCCGAGUGCCAGUAUCUAAUACUGGCUGUCCUUGUGCCUAAAACGCACAAGAUAGCAAGGGCCGGGUAAGACCGGUGCCGGCCGCCGCGGUAACACCGGCGGCCCGAGUGGUAGCCGCUAUUAUUGGGUCUAAAGGGUCCGUAGCCGGUUCGAUAAGUCCUCUGGGAAAUCUGGUUGCUUAACAAUCAGACUGCCAAGGGAUACUGUCGAACUUGAGACCGGGAGAGGUAAGAGGUACUUCAGGGGUAGGAGUGAAAUCUUGUAAUCCCUGGGGGACCAUCUGUGGCGAAGCGUCUUACCAGA
rnacentral:rRNA from 1 species